UCAUUUCUUUUCUCUCUCUUUAUUUUCGUGGGGGGGGGUUUCUUUCAUAAAUUCAGACGACUGACUCCGCCCCGGUCGCGUCCGUUGACGAUCCAUCACGAUCCGUCGUUCAAUCCAAUCAACUGGAUUUAUUGUAUUCUCUUGCAAGCUAUUCUCUUCAACUGUUCUCUCUUUUUUUUCUUCUUCUUUAGCACCGUCGUUUUCGACUCGGUGGACUCGAUUAAUCACCCAACAAGGAAGGACAAGAUAGAAAAUAGGCGAGGAAUCUUUUCUUAUUUCAAUGGAGGGCUCCCGUCUCUUUCUCGGUUCGUUUUAUUGUUAAUUUAGCGCGGCCUAUCCGACAAUUGCGUAAGGAUGAAACAGCAAAAAUAAGAAACCCGCAGUGCGUGUGCGCUCACAGAGCGAUCUAGCGGCUCCCCUUUUUUUCAUUUGGAUUUUGGGAUCAGACAGCUGGGCGGGCUGAUGAUUCAUUGUUUCGGAUUUUUAAAUUUAUAGUUUGGUAGUCUUGGAAUUGGAAAGAGAUGCUUUUAUUUUUUGUUUUGUUUAUUUUUUGAUAAGCGGCUGUGUCUAGUUCUCCGAUGGUAUUUUCUUUUUCUAAACUAAUUCACUUCCAGUUAUUUUUCUCUUUUUGGUUCGAUCUGUCGUUUUUCUCAUGUUCGAUGGGCAGUUAUGAUAAUUCCGUUCGACUUUCCAUAAUGAAGUCCUUUUAGGGUAACGCAAUAAUUUAUGUUUUGUCGCUCCGUUCAUUUUUCUUCGUGCUUUUCGAACCGGCAAAGAUGGCGACACGUGACAUCAAGUGAAAUCUAUAGAUUUGAGAAGCAGGUUUUUUUCUCUCCUCUUCGGGAGCAGAUUAAUGACAAGCUUCCCACCGGUUCUAUAAGCAGAUGACCUUUAUUUUUCUGUUUAUAUUGUCCCUUCUUUUUCUGAUGCUAUGACGCACUCGCAAAUUCGUGAGUUUGACCGUGAAAGGACAAACUGUCCUUUUUCGGCCUUGAUCCUGACGGGGACCUACUUAGGCACACAACCCACUGGCGAUGUCCUAUUGGAUUUUACACACACCCAUGAAGCGUGAAGAAAAAAAAAAAACGAAACGAUCCGUGAAAAAACGAACGGGCAGAGUCCUUCGUUUCUCCCUAGGCGCAUCAUCAAUUCACAUUAGGGAUGCAAUACCGCCGACGAGCGAAUACACACACGAGUGUCGAAGAAAGAGACAAGUAUAUGGAGGAAAGAAGAGAUCAACUAGCUCAUCGGGUACCUAUAGGGUUCUUGUUAUAUGGAUAGCUGCCGACACUGAAUGAUCGGCUAGCGUGUAAAAUUUAUUAUACUAAACAGGGAGGAAACAAGGAAAGAGUUGAGGUGGGAAAUACCAUUUUUUUUUAGGAUGACAUUAGUCAGCAUUGUGGUUAUAGUGAAAGGCCCAACAGAUUUUUAUGGGUUUAAAAAAAAGGCCAUUAGUGCACAUCUAGUGGUUUAUUUACACACGACUGUCACGAAAAGCAUUACCGAACUGCCUCUCUUCAAUGUCAAAUUAACCUGUAGCAAAUGUAAGAAUAAUAAAAAGAAAUUCCUGCGAUGAUGGCGGUACUGUUUUUCAUAUUCAAACGAAUAUUUAAAAAUAUAUGCUCCCCCUCUUCAAAUGUACAACAUAAUAAAAGGCGGACGGAAGAAAAAUUGGUUGGGAUGAUGGACUCUUGUCCUCAAACAUUUUUUCUUGGUAUCUAUCCAUCUUGAUUUUUUUUUUGGGGGGGGGGGUUCUACCAGUAUAGUGCAGGUUAUUAUGAUUUGAGAUUGAGGCGGCUUUGUAAUCUAGCGGCAACCGCCAUCAUUUUUUCUUUUUGUAUUAUAAUUGAACAUUAUUGCGCUCGCGGAAGUACUCAAUUCAUAUUUUUCACUAGAAAAAAAAAAUCAGCCGAAGCAAAAAUCAUAAAACGCGUUUGUGGAAAACCGACAGCGGCUGCCGAACUCGUUAAAAAUAAAAAAUUAUGUCGAGUAGCUACUGUCUAAUUUUUUUAUUUAUUUAUUUUUUUUUAUUAUUAAACAAAAUGUUGGUAAAAAUAUGUAUGCGGGCUUGUUUGGGGAGCCCAACCCCGUUGCUACGUGCUGCUGCCACCUAUAUAAAGUGUAUCAAUCAUCAUUUUUCAUCGAAACAGAAAGGGGGGGGGAGUUUUUCUUUUCCUACUGUUUUUUUAAUUUUUUUUUAUUGGGUGGGGUUGAGAACGACCGUGACUUGAAAUUAUCGGGAGAUGAACGGGCAAUAUUCAGGCAGGGAUUUGCAGCUACUUAUUUAUAUUACAAAACGAAAGCUAAUAUUAACGGCGUUUUGUAUUUGUUCUUGAUACGAAAACAAAAGCUUUAAGCGUGCGGUUAAUAGCGCGCAUAUUACAUACAAUAUGUAUUAAGAACAUAGUCUUGUUUAGCUAUAAUUACCUCGGCAUGUUUGUAUCAAGAGCGACCAAGAACUUAAGAGGAUGAAAGCCAUCGACUCUUUAUUUUUUUUUUUUAGAUAUACGGGGAACCUUUUUCUCCCCCCAUUGCCGGUGUUCUAUUAACCAACGACUAUCUAAUCGUAGAUCUGUAUUUUUUUAGAAAAAAUAAAAGCGGCGUUUGACUUUUCCAGGAAAAAGAAAAAUGUAAUCAUAUCGGAGCUGCUGUGUAUAUAGCGUAGAGGGGGGUGGGGUAAGUUUUCUUUUAUUGGAAAAACAUUUUAUUUCCUCCAUUAUUUCGAAUAGUAUUAUCAAAGAAAAAAGGAAAGGAGCGUGACUUUUCUACGGUCAAUAACAAUCCUUCUGUUAUUCGUUUUUUUUUUCGCGAGUUAAAUACGAAGGGGGGAGGGGAAAGAAGUCUGUGAUUGGCUAGAAUAACGAUGGCAUCUCGUCGUUAUUUUUCGUAUUGUACAGAACUCGUUGUUUUUGCUUAUUGUUCCAUUUUCGAUUGCCCGUUGAAUCCAAAUACAAAGCGUCGGAUUUCAUCCAACAGUUCGGCUAAUAAAAAACAAGUGAAAGCAGAGAAGUCGUGAUCGUGACUUAGAAACGUAGACAGAGAAAUAGAAUCGAUUAUUAAAUAGAGUGGAUGACAGUUACCUAAGACUCACAAAUGAAUUCAUGUUGAAUAUGACCGCACGUAUAUGUCACGGCCGUUUUCCCGUCGUUCCAUGUCACGCGGUACAUAUUUCCCAUAGGCCUAUAUCGACAUCGUGAAGCUGCGGGAACGACGGCUUUGCACUGACCGUAAAUAGGUCAUUCUGGGGAUAAAGUCUCCAAUCGAUUUGCUUUUCCGAACCAUCUGAUUCCAGAUGUCUUUUUUUAAACUAUGUCUACAGGAAAGACGACGUCUGCGCCGUAUUCGAUACGUUGGUGAAAGGGUUUGAUUAAAAAUAUAAAAAACAUCUCAGUUUGUAAUUGAACAUUUGAUUCGUUGGAUAAGCAAAAUAGAAAACAUCGUUUUCUUGAAUUUCUCUUUUUCUUUUCCCUCGUCGAUGUCAAUGGAGAGGCCUAUGCAGCACAUCUACAAAAUUUUGCGGAUCAAACGAUAUCGUCUUUCCUCCAAUCUUCCGCUCGCUUUUCAUUAAAUGGAGAGACGCUGAUAAGAGAGCGGCUCGUUAUAGAUCCAAGACGAAUCGAUACGAGCGGAUAUAUGAUUGCCUCUAUUAUCUACACAUGCUGCUGCGUGUCUUAUGCUGAUAUUAUGUUGCUUAUAUUGCUCCCGCCCCACAGCAGCAUGUACGUGCCUGACUAAAUUGUUUCAAGACGUGACAUUGCCAAAAAGUUUGCUUGAUUUGCGACAGUCACAUAAAAGCAAAGUUAUUGAAGAAUUAAUAUAAAUUAAAUUGCGUUGGGGUCUUUGAGCUACGAUGCGCUGUAAGUUGUGCGUCUGAAAGUAACUUUGCCUACGAACAUUUCUUGAUUAAACAUUUUUUUGUUUUGUUGAAAUUUAUUUUUAAGUAUAGUUCUUGUGGCGUACGCAUCAAGGGCGUCGAAUUUUAAUUUGGAAGACCCUCUUGACCGCACUAGUUCGCUUUUUGUGAUGCCUCCUACACCUUUGAUAUUCUCGUUGGAAUCGAUAGUGAUAACUCGAGUGGAUUUUGAUCGACUUGUAUAGUCAGAAUUUUUGGGUGCAAGUUGUUAUUAUUUCAUUUUUUCCUCAUUGUUCAAAAGUUGGCUCUUUUCCAAGGACUAGCUGUGGGAUGAUUAUCAGAGUUUGUGGAAAUUGUAGGGCCUUUUUGUUACAAAAGAAAAUCCUAUCGAAAGUGUAGGAAACCGUCGUCCAAUUGCCAAUGUCCGGUCGAUCCGCCACUAUCAGAGUAGGCGAUAAAAAAACAAACCCCGACACAACUUGUAUCGACGAUAAACCGGCUCUUAAACUCUAGUUCUCGAGAAAUUCUUUCAACUUUCUUUGUUCUAUGCUGACCCGGUUGAUAUCAGCCAAAUUUAUUAAGGAAUGCCCCCAUCAAUUGUUAUCACGUUGUAUUUUUCUUUUUAAAAAAUGUAUAUUUGAUUUGUUUUUUUUUCUGGUUUUCGUGGGAACAAGGCAACGUCGGGGCUUUUUCUUGCAUCCCAUUGUUUGCAAUAUUUGUGAAAUACAGUCGUUUUCAUUUUAAUAAACCAAAUUGCAUAAUUUUACUUGUCUUUUUAG